rnacentral:rRNA from 1 species
UACGUAGGGGGCUAGCGUUGUCCGGAAUCAUUGGGCGUAAAGAGCGUGUAGGCGGUCCGGUAAGUCCGCUGUGAAAGUCGGGGGCUCAACCCUCGAAUGCCGGUGGAUACUGUCGGGCUAGAGUACGGAAGAGGCGAGUGGAAUUCCUGGUGUAGCGGUGAAAUGCGCAGAUAUCAGGAAGAACACCCGUGGCUAAGGCGGUUCUCUAGUACGGUACUGACGCUGAGACGCGAAAGCUAGGGGAGCAAACGGG